rnacentral:rRNA from 1 species
AAAUUGAAGAGUUUGAUCAUGGCUCAGAUUGAACGCUGGCGGCAGGCCUAACACAUGCAAGUCGAACGGUAGCACAGAGAGCUUGCUCUCGGGUGACGAGUGGCGGACGGGUGAGUAAUGUCUGGGAAACUGCCUGAUGGAGGGGGAUAACUACUGGAAACGGUGGCUAAUACCGCAUAACGUCGCAAGACCAAAGAGGGGGACCUUCGGGCCUCUUGCCAUCAGAUGUGCCCAGAUGGGAUUAGCUUGUUGGUGAGGUAACGGCUCACCAAGGCGACGAUCCCUAGCUGGUCUGAGAGGAUGACCAGCCACACUGGAACUGAGACACGGUCCAGACUCCUACGGGAGGCAGCAGUGGGGAAUAUUGCACAAUGGGCGCAAGCCUGAUGCAGCCAUGCCGCGUGUAUGAAGAAGGCCUUCGGGUUGUAAAGUACUUUCAGCGGGGAGGAAGGUGUUGUGGUUAAUAACCGCAGCAAUUGACGUUACCCGCAGAAGAAGCACCGGCUAACUCCGUGCCAGCAGCCGCGGUAAUACGGAGGGUGCAAGCGUUAAUCGGAAUUACUGGGCGUAAAGCGCA